rnacentral:rRNA from 1 species
UAGGGAAUCUUCCACAAUGGACGAAAGUCUGAUGGAGCAACGCCGCGUGAGUGAAGAAGGGUUUCGGCUCGUAAAACUCUGUUGUUAAAGAAGAACAUAUCUGAGAGUAACUGUUCAGGUAUUGACGGUAUUUAACUAGAAAGCCACGGCUAACUACGUGCCAA